rnacentral:rRNA from 1 species
UACGUAGGCAGCAAGCGUUGUUCGGAGUUACUGGGCGUAAAGGUGCGUAGGUGGCUCUAUAAGUAUGGUGUGAAAUCUCCCGGCUUAACUGGGAGGGUGCGCCGUAGACUGUGGGGCUAGAGUGUGGGAGAGGAAAGUGGAAUUCCUGGUGUAGCGGUGAAAUGCGUAGAUAUCAGGAGGAACACCGGUGGUGUAGACGGCUUUCCUGGACCGUAACUGACGCUGAGACACGAAAGCGUGGGUAGCAAACAGG